AUCCAGCUGACGAGUCCCAAACAGGACGUAAGGCGCAUCCUGGAU
rfam:Schistosoma haematobium scaffold1341_3, whole genome shotgun sequence.